GCUUGUUGGUGAGGUAAAAGCUCACCAAGGCGACGAUCUGUAGCGGGUCUGAGAGGAUGAUCCGCCACACUGGAACUGAGACACGGUCCAGACUCCUACGGGAGGCAGCAGUGGGGAAUUUUGGACAAUGGGGGCAACCCUGAUCCAGCCAUGCCGCGUGAGUGAAGAAGGCCUUCGGGUUGUAAAGCUCUUUCAGCCGGGAAGAAAACGCAUGGGUUAAUACCCUGUGUGGAUGACGGUACCGGAAUAAGAAGCACCGGCUAACUACGUGCCAGCAGCCGCGGUAAUACGUAGGGUGCGAGCGUUAAUCGGAAUUACUGGGCGUAAAGCGUGCGCAGGCGGUUUUGUAAGACAGGCGUGAAAUCCCCGGGCUUAACCUGGGAACUGCGUUUGUGACUGCAAGGCUAGAGUACGGCAGAGGGGGGUGGAAUUCCACGUGUAGCAGUGAAAUGCGUAGAGAUGUGGAGGAACACCAAUGGCGAAGGCAGCCCCCUGGGUCGAUACUGACGCUCAUGCACGAAAGCGUGGGUAGCAAACAGGAUUAGAUACCCUGGUAGUCCACGCCCUAAACGAUGUCAACUAGGUGUUGGGAGGGUAAAACCUUUUAGUACCGGAGCUAACGCGUGAAGUUGACCGCCUGGGGAGUACGGCCGCAAGGUUAAAACUCAAAGGAAUUGACGGGGACCCGCACAAGCGGUGGAUGAUGUGGAUUAAUUCGAUGCAACGCGAAAAACCUUACCUACCCUUGACAUGCCAAGAACUUUCCAGAGAUGGAUUGGUGCCCGAAAGGGAACUUGGACACAGGUGCUGCAUGGCUGUCGUCAGCUCGUGUCGUGAGAUGUUGGGUUAAGUCCCGCAACGAGCGCAACCCUUGUCGUUAAUUGCCAUCAUUUAGUUGGGCACUUUAACGAGACUGCCGGUGACAAACCGGAGGAAGGUGGGGAUGACGUCAAGUCCUCAUGGCCCUUAUGGGUAGGGCUUCACACGUCAUACAAUGGUCGGUACAAAGGGUCGCCAAGCCGCGAGGUGGAGCCAAUCCCAGAAAGCCGAUCGUAGUCCGGAUCGCAGUCUGCAACUCGACUGCGUGAAGUCGGAAUCGCUAGUAAUCGUGGAUCAGAAUGUCACGGUGAAUACGUUCCCGGGUCUUGUACACACCGCCCGUCACACCAUGGGAGCGGGUUCCGCCAGAAGUAGGUAGCCUAACCGCAAGGAGGGCGCUUACCACGGCGGGGUUCGUGACUGGGGUGAAGUCGUAACAAGGUAGCCGUAGGGGAACCUGCGGCUG
rnacentral:rRNA from 1 species